GCCAGGCACAGUGGCACGUACCUGUAGUCACAGCUACUCAGAAGGCUGAGGCUGGAGGAUCGCUUGGGUCCAGGAGUUCUGGGCUACAGUGCACUAUGCCAAUCGGGUGUCUGCACUACGUUCUGCAUCAAUAUGGUGACCUCCCGGGAGCAGGGAACCACCAGGUUGCCUAAGGAGGGAUGAACAGGCGAAGGUUGGAAACAGAGCAGGUCAAAACUCCUGUGCUGAUCAACAGUGGGAUCGUGCCUAUGAGUAGCCACUGCACUCCAGCCUAGGCAACAUAGCGAGAUCCAUCUCU
rnacentral:SRP_RNA from 1 species